GCAUUAGGCAUAUCCCUUUUACAAUGUUAUGGGGUGUCCCGUUAGUUAUGUUUGUAUCACAUACAACAAGUCAUCACAUAAUUGAUGCAGGCAAAUGUUUGAUAUUUUAUGUUGCAAGCUCUGUUGUGCCACUUUUACAAUAUCAAA